GAUGAACGCUGGCGGCGUGCCUAACACAUGCAAGUCGAGCGAUUCUCUUCGGAGAAGAGCGGCGGACGGGUGAGUAACGCGUGGGUAACCUGCCCUGCACACACGGAUAACAUACCGAAAGGUAUGCUAAUACGAGAUAAUAUGCUUUUAUCGCAUGGUAGAAGUAUCAAAGCUCCGGCGGUACAGGAUGGACCCGCGUCUGAUUAGCUAGUUGGUAAGGUAACGGCUUACCAAGGCGACGAUCAGUAGCCGACCUGAGAGGGUGAUCGGCCACAUUGGAACUGAGACACGGCCCAAACUCCCACGGGAGGCAGCAGUAGGGAAUAUUGCACAAUGGGGGAAACCCUGAUGCAGCAACGCCGCGUGAGUGAUGACGGCCUUCGGGUUGUAAAGCUCUGUC
rnacentral:rRNA from 1 species